rnacentral:rRNA from 1 species
UACGUAGGCGGCAAGCGUUACCCGGAAUUACUGGGCGUAAAGCGUGCGCAGGUGGUUUGAUAAGUUUUUGUUAAAAUACGUUGGCUUAACCAACGGAUCGCAAAAAUACUGUUAGACUAGAGGAAGCUAGGGGGUAUCGGAACAGAUGGUGAAGCAGUGAAAUGCGUUGAUAUCAUCUGGAACACCCAAGGCGAAGGCAGGUACCUGGGGCUUUCCUGACACUGUUGCACGAAAGCACGGGGAGCGAACCGG